UACGGGGGGGGGCAAGCGUUGUUCGGAAUUACUGGGCGUAAAGGGCUCGUCGGCGGCCAACUAAGUCGGACGUGAAAUCCCCAGGCUCAACCUGGGAACUGCGUCCGAUACUGGAUGGCUUGAAUUCGGGAGAGGGAUGCAGAAUUCCAGGUGUAGCGGUGAAAUGCGCAGAUAUCAGGAGGAACACCGGUGGCGAAGGCGGGUCUCUGGGCAACAACUGACGCUGAGGAGCGAAAGCGUGGGGAGCGAACAGG
rnacentral:rRNA from 1 species